rnacentral:rRNA from 1 species
AUUUUGGACAAUGGGGGCAACCCUGAUCCAGCAAUGCCGCGUGAGUGAAGAAGGCCUUCGGGUUGUAAAGCUCUUUUGUCAGGGCAGAAACGAUGCGGGCCAAUACCCUGCGCUAAUGACGGUACCUGAAGAAUAAGCACCGGCUAACCACGGGCCAGCAGCCGCGGUAAUACGUAGGGUGCAAGCGUUAAUCGGAAUUACUGGGCGUAAAGCGUGCGCAGGCGGUUGUGCAAGACAGAUGUGAAAUCCCCGGGCUUAACCUGGGAAUUGCAUUUGUGACUGCACGGCUAGAGUGUGUCAGAGGGGGGUAGAAUUCCACGUGUAGCAGUGAAAUGCGUAGAGAUGUGGAGGAAUACCGAUGGCGAAGGCAGCCCCCUGGGAUAACACUGACGCUCAUGCACGAAAGCGUGGGGAGCAAAC